GGAUUAGAUACCCUGGUAGUCCACGCCGUAAACGAUGAGUGCUAGAUGUCUUGGGUAUUGACCCCCGAGGUGUCGUAGCUAACGCGUUAAGCACUCCGCCUGGGAACUACGGCCGCAAGGCUAAAACUCAAAGGAAUUGACGGGGGCCCGCACAAGCGGUGGAGCAUGUGGUUUAAUUCGACGCAACGCGCAGAACCUUACCCGGGCUAGAAAAAUAGGGAAGCCGAUAGAAACAUCGGUGUGCUCGUAAGAGAACCCUAGUCCAGGUGCUGCAUGGCUGUCGUCAGCUCGUGCCG
rnacentral:rRNA from 1 species